AGCGUAUAUUAAAGUUGUUGCAGUUAAAAAGCUCGUAGUUGAAUUUCGGGAUCAGUACGUUGGUCGUGCCUUAGGUACGUACUGGUGUUACUGGUUCCUACCUUCUGACGAACCAUCAUGUCAUUAAUUUGGUGUGGCGGGGAAUCAGGACUGUUACUUUGAAAAAAUUAGAGUGUUUAAAGCAGGCUCGCGCUUGAAUACAUUAGCAUGGAAUAAUGAAAUAGGACGUUGAUCCUAUUUUGUUGGUUUCUAGGAUUGACGUAAUGAUUAAUAGGGAUAGUUGGGGGCAUUAGUAUUCAAUUGUCAGAGGUGAAAUUCUUGGAUUUAUUGAAGACUAACUACUGCGAAAGCAUUUGCCUAGGAUGUUUUCAUUAAUCAAGAACGAAAGUUAGGGGAUCGAAGACGAUCAGAUACCGUCGUAGUCUUAACCAUAAACUAUGCCGACUAGGGAUCGGAUGAUGUUAAUUUUUUAAUGACUC
rnacentral:rRNA from 1 species